ACUUAAGCAUAUCAAUAAGCGGAGGAAAAGAAACCAACAGGGAUUGCCCUAGUAACGGCGAGUGAAGCGGCAACAGCUCAAAUUUGAAAUCUGGCUCUUUUAGGGUCCGAGUUGUAAUUUGCAGAGGGCGCUUUGGCUUUGGCAGCGGUCCAAGUUCUUUGGAACAGGACGUCACAGAGGGUGAGAAUCCCGUACGUGGUCGCUAUCCAUCGCCGUGUAAAGCCCCUUCGACGAGUCGAGUUGUUUGGGAAUGCAGCUCUAAAUGGGAGGUAAAUUUCUUCUAAAGCUAAAUACUGGCCAGAGACCGAUAGCGCACAAGUAGAGUGAUCGAAAGAUGAAAAGCACUUUGGAAAGAGAGUCAAAUAGCACGUGAAAUUGUUGAAAGGGAAGCGCUUGCAGCCAGACUUGCCUGUAGUUGCUUAUCCGGACUUUUGUCCGGUGCACUCUUCUAUAGGCAGGCCAGCAUCAGUUUGGGCGGUUGGAUAAAGGUCUCUGUCAUGUACCUCUCUUCGGGGAGGCCUUAUAGGGGAGACGACAUGCAACCAGCCUGGACUGAGGUCCGCGCAUCUGCUAGGAUGCUGGCGUAAUGGCUGUAAGCGGCCCGUCUUGAAACACGGACCAAGGAGUCUAACAUCUAUGCGAGUGUUUGGGUGUCAAGCCCAGACGCGUAAUGAAAGUGAACGGAGGUGGGAACCUUUUAGGUGCACCAUCGACCGAUCCUGAUGUCUUCGGAAGGAUUUGAGUAAGAGCAUGGCUGUUGGGACCCGAAAGAUGGUGAACUAUGCUUGAAUAGGGUGAAGCCAGAGGAAACUCUGGUGGAGGCUCGCAGCGGUUCUGACGUGCAAAUCGAUCGUCAAAUUUGGGCAUAGGGGCGAAAGACUAAUCGAACUAUCUUCUCUCCUGGUUUUG
rnacentral:rRNA from 1 species